rnacentral:lncRNA from 1 species
CUCUAGACUCUUUCGAAUUUUUCUUUUUCCAACCAUCGGGAUGAGGUCGAGUGUGUAUACUAACUAAAUACCAUAGGACCUUGUCUAUAUACAGCAAUGCCAUUUUUUAGUUUUGGAAGUUUUCCUGCUGGUAGGAAGAGCAGCGCACCCCAGUGAAACCAGUCAGCGUCUGCCUAUUUUAGUCGUGUGGUGAUGUGGUGCGGUCGGUGGUGGCAUUUCUUUCGAAACAUUUCUUGUUGUGAUGGCCAAAAAAUCGACAGCUAACGAGUGAAGGGAAAAGACAAGAGAAACAAAAGAAAAACAGAACGACAGCAGCUACCGUACUGCAAGUGUGCACCUGUAUUUUUGUUUGGCCACGGAUCUCCGUGAAAAAGAAAAAGAAAAAUGAUCAACAUGGAUCUCCCCUGCGUCCCAGUGUGUUGAGUGCCUGCGUUCUCGCCAAAUCAAAUGACAACAAUUGAAAAAAGAACAUUUCAAAAUUCGCGCCAUUGAAAAUCAACCGGGAAAUUACACUCGCAAUCAUUUCAAACGACACAACCUCUUUUUUUUUUUUUUUAAUUUUAUCUCCACUUUCAUCGACGUCAGAGUGAGGCUUCAUCCAUCUAUUGCACCAUCAACCGUGUUUUUGUUUUUUUACGUGCGUGUUCACGAAAGAAAGAAGAAAAAAAAGAGAGAAGUGAAAGUUUCGUUCGUCUGCCGUGUGUCUUUUUUUAUUUUUCCAGUUUCUAGUGGCCCGUGCGUUCGGACGUUUUAAAAAUUGGGUGUCUUUUUUUGUGUGUACCCUGUUUGGUCUUGGGAGGGCUCGGCCGUCCGUGCGUCGUCGUGCGGAUGUGAUAUGAAGAGCGAAUGUUGUGCUUGCAGUGAGGGAGGAACGCCUGCACGUGUACGCAACUGUUAAAGGCCAGGAUGACACGGAUCUCCCGUUAUUGCAUCAGCCAGCACCAGUUCAUCGAUUGCCGUUUGCCGCAUUCAAAUUGCCUUCUCGUUUCGCGCUCUGCAGUUGACAACGGUUUCAGUCGAGCCGCGGUCGUUGGACGACUAAAAAAACUCGAGUUAAAUCUGCAAACAAGCACCUGGUUAAAUGACGUCAUACCAACUGCGCGUUGGAUAACUGACCGUUUUCAAUUUUCUUGCCCUUGCCACAAUCUUAAAAAGAUGGUAAUAGUUAUUUUAUUUGAUUUUUUUAUUUUUUGUGUGUGUUUUAUUUGGUUUUUUUUUUAAGGAUGUGUUUGCCAACUCGGUCAACUUGACUCACGAAAGUGGUCGUUUAUCUACGCAAGUUGAUGGCAGCGUAAUCCCCAUAAGCUUUUGUGUGUGUGUGUGUGUGUGUGUGUGUGUGUGUGUGUGUGUGUGUGUGUGUAACAAAUGCGUUGGACAGGUGUGCUGGAAGGACGAACAAUCAAUUUCUUCUUUUCGGUUAGCGGAUGAAAAGGGGGUCGGACUCACGAGGAGAUGGGGGGGGGGACAUUCUUCAUGGCAUCAAAUAUUUCGUGUUUUUUUUUUCUUUUCUUUUUCUUUUCUUGAGCAACGAAAUUAAAAAAAUAUAUAUAAAAUAUUUUCGUUAUUUGCUGCUCCUGGCCUCAUUUUUUGGUUGCGCAUAACUCGCAUCUAUUUAAAGUUGAAUUGCCAUUCGAUCCUCGUAUACAAAAAGAAAGGCCAACUUUAUUUAUAUCUUUUUUUUUUAUUAUUUCAUAAAUCACCUGGCCGCAUCUCAGGUGUCUGUUGCGCAAUGCUUAUGCAAUUUUCCUUUUUUAAAAUGAUUAUUACUAUUAUUUAUUUAUUUAUUUAUUUAUUAUUAUUUUUUAAAAAUCUACGUGACCUACACUAUAAACGUACGAAGAAAUCCAUCCGGCUCUUCGGAUGGAUGUAGCUUCGAUAGUCUUUGAUAGUCUAUGCAAAACACAAUGCCGGUGGAGGGAGAGGUUUUUGCCGAGCCCCGUUUUUUUUAUUAUAUCGAUGCCCCCCUCUUCGAAACGCUACGUGCCCACCUGCUGGUAACUGACAACUAAGGCAAGUUCCAAGAAAGAAGAAAACACCGGUGCCCUUAUCUAAUUGGCGAGAUCACAAAUGGGAAGAAUUCCAAUGUUGUUUUCUUCUUCUGCCCAAAAGAGAGAGCUCACACCUGUGCGCUCACGCGUACACAGCGAAACUAUCCCGACACCCCCAGCUCGACAUCAUUUGCAUAUAGUUAAGCGGUUUCUUUUAUUUAUUUAUUUAUCUAUUUAUUUAUUUUGUGUGCCUUUGAUGUUUCGAUUUCGGAAAUAUUUGUAGAAAAUCGGGAUUUUCGCCUCGUCUCUUUGCCAUUAUUCAAACGCAAACAAGGAUGUCGCAAUUGUAGGCCUUGAGUGAAUCCAUUCACUGAUUUUGGUGUUGGCUAUUUACGAUGAUAGUUUCAACUCGUCGAAUCGACGCUCAUAAUUAAAGGAGAUGGUUGGUUGUUUUUAGUGAGCCUUUUUUUCAUUUGUUCUUUCUUAAAACAAAAACAUUCGGCGUGAAUGAAUGAAUGGAAUGAAGUGUUGGAAUUAUGACAAAGGGAUGGUCUGGAGAA